UACGUAGGGUGCAAGCGUUAAUCGGAAUUACUGGGCGUAAAGCGUGCGCAGGCGGUUGUGCAAGACCGAUGUGAAAUCCCCGGGCUUAACCUGGGAACUGCAUUUGGGACUGCAAGGCUUGAGUACGGCAGAGGGGGGUAGAAUUCCUGGUGUAGCAGUGAAAUGCGUAGAUAUCAGGAGGAAUACCGAUGGCGAAGGCAGCCCCCUGGGUCGAUACUGACGCUCAUGCACGAAAGCGUGGGGAGCAAACAGG
rnacentral:rRNA from 1 species